rnacentral:rRNA from 1 species
GAUGAACGCUGGCGGCGUGCUUAACACAUGCAAGUCGAACGGUGAAGGAGGAGCUUGCUCUUCUGGAUCAGUGGCGAACGGGUGAGUAACACGUGAGCAAUCUGCCCUUGACUCUGGGAUAACAGUUGGAAACAGCUGCUAAUACCGGAUACGAGACGUGACCGCAUGGUCAACGUCUGGAAAGAACUUCGGUCAAGGAUGAGCUCACGGCCUAUCAGCUAGUUGGUGAGGUAAUGGCUCACCAAGGCGACGACGGGUAGCCGGCCUGAGAGGGUGACCGGCCACACUGGGACUGAGACACGGCCCAGACUCCUACGGGAGGCAGCAGUGGGGAAUAUUGCACAAUGGGCGAAAGCCUGAUGCAGCAACGCCGCGUGAGGGACGACGGCCUCGGUUGUAACUACUUUAGUCUAAGGAAGAAGACGAAGUAGACGGUACGUUGUCAGAAAAGACGGACCGGCUAACGUACCGUAGCCAGCAGCCGCGGUAACGU